GAACUAUGCGUUGAGCACAGAGCGAACUAUUCUUUCGCCUAUUACUAAAUAAUACCGUGUGCGCGACGUUUUAAGUGUCAUAGGUCAAUUUUUAGAGGGUGAACCUUUGCGGGU